AUUGAACGCUGGCGGCAGGCCUAACACAUGCAAGUCGAGCGGCAGCGGGUAGAAAGCUUGCUUUCUAUGCCGGCGAGCGGCGGACGGGUGAGGAAUACCUAGGAAUCUGUCCAUUAGUGGGGAAUAACCAGCCGAAAGGUUGGCUAAUACCGCAUACGCCCUACGGGGGAAAGGGGGGGAUCUUCGGACCUCUCGCUAAUAGGUGAGCCUAGGUCGGAUUAGCUAGUUGGUGGGGUAAAGGCCUACCAAGGCGACGAUCCGUAGUUGGUCUGUGAGGAUGACCGGCCACACUGGGACUGGGACACGGCCCAGACUCCUACGGGAGGCAGCAGUGGGGAAUAUUGCACAAUGGGCGAAAGCCUGAUGCAGCCAUGCCGCGUGUGUGAAGAAGGCCUUCGGGUUGUAAAGCACUUUAGGCGGGGAGGAAAGGUUAACGAUUAAUACUCGUUAGCUGUGACGUUACCCGCAGAAUAAGCACCGGCUAACUCCGUGCCAGCAGCCGCCGCGG
rnacentral:rRNA from 1 species